rnacentral:rRNA from 1 species
UACGAAGGGUGCAAGCGUUAAUCGGAAUUACUGGGCGUAAAGCGUGCGCAGGCGGUUCGUUGUGUCGGCGGUGAAAGCCCCGGGCUCAACCUGGGAAUGGCCGUUGAAACUGGCGAACUGGAGUGUGGCAGAGGGGGGUGGAAUUCCGCGUGUAGCAGUGAAAUGCGUAGAGAUGUGGAGGAAUACCGAUGGCGAAGGCAGCCCCCUGGGCCAAUACUGACGCUCAUGCACGAAAGCGUGGGGAGCAAACAGG